GGUGGCCGGACUGCAGCCCUCUAGUCCAGGAGCACAGCCCUGGCAGGGCCUGAGGGGGGCUUUGGCCUCUGCCCCUUCUCUCUGUCCUCCCAGCCUUCUCCAGCUCAGCCUCAGACAGAUGAGGAGGGACUGACAAGGAGCAGGAGUAGUCCUGGGGCUGCUCAGGAGGCUUUGGGUGGCCUUGGCAAGUGGCUUUCCGUCUCUGGGCCUCAGUUUCCUCAUCUGCAAGGUGGGUGCAAUAAUGACUGCUUGAGGACUAACGAGUGAAACUGACAAGAAGAGCACACAUCUUAAGAUGGGGACACUGAGCCUCAGAGAGAAGAACGAUGUGGCCAGGGUCCCGCAGCGAGGAUGCGGCAGAAUCAGGAUUGGAACCCAGACCUGUCUGACUCCAGAGCUUUCGGGGACUAGGAUUCUUUCUGCACGCCUUUCUCUCUCGCCAAGUCUCUUGCAGAAACGCCUCGCGGACACACUCAGAAAUAUGUUUAGUCCUGAAAGAUGAGCCCUAAUUCCACCCAGCAGCUGGCACAUCUGGACCGUGACCACUGGGGCUGACCCUUGGGGCUGCUGUCACGAUUAUGUCCUUGGGACACCUGGGAGGUUCAAGCCACUGGCAGCAGCUGGGUUGGACCAACAGCUGAUGGAAUCUCUAGCCGGACUUCUAACAGUGCCAGUUUUUGAAUUUCCCCUGAAGGACUCAAGGAGUGCGAGUUCUUUCACGUCCAGCUUCUUUUGCUCACACUGUAUCCACAAGAUUCAUCCACAUAGCUGUAAAGACUCCAAAGCUCAGAAGAGUAAGUUGACUUGCUCAGAAACACAGAGCCAGUGGUUGUGUGGUGCAGACAAGAAGCCAGGAGUCUGUGAUUCAAGGCCAGGAAUACCACCAUGUCUUGCUGUAUAUCUUUCAGGACUCUGUGACUCAGUUUUUCUGCAGGUUACUGUAUGAUUCUCUGGAGCAGGGUACAAGGAGACACCUUGAAGCUUGCUGGAUGCCUCAGAGGGAAGUGAGAGAGAAACAAGCACCAGAGAAGGCAGAGUGAGGAAACAGAGAAAUUGGGACUUUGGAGACAUUGUUUGAGCUGCUGGACCAAGCCUUGCCUGAAAGCAGCAUAUCUAGACUUCAACAUCCCCACUCUGAGGAGCUUCUGGGAGAGUUGGCUAGGUCUUUCCCAAGCCUGGGAAGCAGAAGCCGGGGCAGAUUAACAAUGCCAAUUACUAAGAUCCUGCAGUCGAUGAAAGAGCCCUCUCUGACCCACUCUGACCACAGUCUCCCCACCGUCCCCGAGGAGACUAGAUCUGGAAGAGGAUAUUUCUUGGAUCUGGUCACCUGGCAGAGAUGAAACUCUGAUGAGAGGCUGCCCAUGCUUCACCUGCCUCCCUCCCCCUGAAGCACCUGAUCCAGGGUUGGCCUGCACCAGGAGCACUUUCCUUCUCCCAGGAGGAGAUCUGCCCUUCUCUAACUCCAACACUUUGUUAGAACCCUGAAGGUAGAGGAGCCAGACAGACCUGGGUUUGAGUCCUGACUUUGGCACUGAUGGACUGCGGGACUCUGCCCUUUACCUUAAGAUCUCAGGCCGGGUGCGGUGGCUCAUGCCUGUAAUCCC
rnacentral:lncRNA from 10 species